rnacentral:rRNA from 1 species
UACGAAGGGGGCUAGCGUUGCUUGGAAUCACUGGGCGUAAAGCGCACGUAGGCGGACUUUUAAGUCAGGGGUGAAAUCCUGGAGCUCAACUCCAGAACUGCCUUUGAUACUGGAAGUCUUGAGUUCGAGAGAGGUGAGUGGAACUGCGAGUGUAGAGGUGAAAUUCGUAGAUAUUCGCAAGAACACCAGUGGCGAAGGCGGCUCACUGGCUCGAUACUGACGCUGAGGUGCGAAGGCGUGGGGAGCAAACAGG